rnacentral:RNase_P_RNA from 1 species
GGCCGCGUGGAGUCCCUUGCGGGACUUCCCGAGGAACGUCCGGGCUCCACAGGGCAGGGUGAUGGCUAACGGCCACCCGGGGUGACCCGCGGGACAGUGCCACAGAAAGCAGACCGCCGGAGGCUUCGGCCCCCGGUAAGGGUGAAACGGUGGUGUAAGAGACCACCAGUGCCCAGGGCGACCUGGGCAGCUAGGUAAACCCCACCCGGAGCAAGGUCAAGAGGGGCGCCGUGAAAAGCGCUCUGCGCGGACGAUCGAGGGCUGCCCGCCCGAGUCCGCGGGUAGACCGCACGAGGCCGGUGGCAACGCCGGUCCUAGAUGGAUGGCC